rnacentral:rRNA from 1 species
CAGUCGCCGCGGGAAUACCUAGGUGGCAAGCGUUGUCCGGAAUUAUUGGGCGUAAAGGGCUCGCAGGCGGUUUCUUAAGUCUGAUGUGAAAGCCCCCGGCUCAACCGGGGAGGGUCAUUGGAAACUGGGAAACUUGAGUGCAGAAGAGGAGAGUGGAAUUCCACGUGUAGCGGUGAAAUGCGUAGAGAUGUGGAGGAACACCAGUGGCGAAGGCGACUCUCUGGUCUGUAGCUGACGCUGAGGAGCGAAAGCGUGGGGAGCGAACAGGAUUAGAUACCCGCGUAGUCCCUGUCUCUUAUAC